rnacentral:rRNA from 1 species
CCUACGGGCGGCAGCAGUGAGGAAUAUUGGUCAAUGGGCGCGAGCCUGAACCAGCCAAGUCGCGUGAGGGAGGACGGCCCUACGGGUUGUAAACCUCUUUUGCCGGGGAGCAACGGGCGCCACGUGUGGCGUCACUGAGAGUACCCGGAGAAAAAGCAUCGGCUAACUCCGUGCCAGCAGCCGCGGUAAUACGGAGGAUGCGAGCGUUAUCCGGAUGUAUUGGGUUAAAAGGGUGCGUAGGCGGAUCGUUAAGUCAGUGGUCAAAUUGAGGGGCUCAACCCCUUCCCGCCAUUGAAACUGGCGUACGUGAGUGUGAGAGAAGUAUGCGGAAUGCGUGGUGUAGCGGUGAAAUGCAUAGAUAUCACGCAGAACCCCGAUUGCGAAGGCGACAAGCCGGCUUCCGACUGACGCUGAAGCACGAAAGCGUGGGGAGCGAACAGGAUUAGAUACCCUGGUAGUC